rnacentral:rRNA from 1 species
CAGCAGCCACGGUAAAACGAAGGGUGCAAGCGUUAAUCGGAAUUACUGGGCGUAAAGCGUGCGUAGGCGGUUUGUUAAGUCUGUUGUGAAAUCCCCGGGCUCAACCUGGGAAUGGCAAUGGAUACUGGCAAGCUAGAGUGUGUCAGAGGAUGGUGGAAUUCCCGGUGUAGCGGUGAAAUGCGUAGAGAUCGGGAGGAACAUCAGUGGCGAAGGCGGCCAUCUGGGACAACACUGACGCUGAGGCACGAAAGCGUGGGGAGCAAACAGGAUUAGAUACCCGGGUAGUCCCUGUCUCUUAUAC